GAACCGUGCGAACGUUGUUCGGAAUCACUGGGCUUAAAGGGCGCGUAGGCGGCCGUUCAAGUCCGGGGUGAAAUCCUCCAGCUCAACUGGAGAAGUGCCUCGGAUACUGGACGGCUCGAGUGAGGUAGGGGCAGCUGGAACUUCCGGUGGAGCGGUGAAAUGCGUUGAUAUCGGAAGGAACGCCGGUGGCGAAAGCGGGCUGCUGGACCUCUUCUGACGCUGAGGCGCGAAAGCCAGGGUAGCGAACGGGAUUAGAUACCCCGGUAGUCCUGGCCCUAAACGAUGGGUACUAGAUUGUAGGCUUACAUGGGCUUACAGUCGAAGCAAAAGUGAUAAGUACCCCGCCUGGGGAGUAUGCUCGCAAGGCUG
rnacentral:rRNA from 1 species